rnacentral:rRNA from 1 species
AUGGAGCCGACCUUGAAAUACCACCCUUUAAUGUUUGAUGUUCUAACGUUGACCCGUAAUCCGGGUUGCGGACAGUGUCUGGUGGGUAGUUUGACUGGGGCGGUCUCCUCCUAAAGAGUAACGGAGGAGCACGAAGGUUGGCUAAUCCUGGUCGGACAUCAGGAGGUUAGUGCAAUGGCAUAAGCCAGCUUGACUGCGAGCGUGACGGCGCGAGCAGGUGCGAAAGCAGGUCAUAGUGAUCCGGUGGUUCUGAAUGGAAGGGCCAUCGCUCAACGGAUAAAAGGUACUCCGGGGAUAACAGGCUGAUACCGCCCAAGAGUUCAUAUCGACGGCGGUGUUUGGCACCUCGAUGUCGGCUCAUCACAUCCUGGGGCUGAAGUAGGUCCCAAGGGUAUGGCUGUUCGCCAUUUAAAGUGGUACGCGAGCUGGGUUUAGAACGUCGUGAGACAGUUCGGUCCCUAUCUGCCGUGGGCGCUGGAGAACUGAGGGGGGCUGCUCCUAGUACGAGAGGACCGGAGUGGACGCAUCACUGGUGUUCGGGUUGUCAUGCCAAUGGCACUGCCCGGUAGCUAAAUGCGGAAGAGAUAAGUGCUGAAAGCAUCUAAGCACGAAACUUGCCCCGAGAUGAGUUCUCCCUGACUCCUUGAGAGUCCUGAAGGAACGUU